GAUGAACGCUGGCGGCGUGCCUAAUACAUGCAAGUCGAGCGAACGGACGAGAAGCUUGCUUCUCUGAUGUUAGCGGCGGACGGGUGAGUAACACGUGGAUAACCUACCUAUAAGACUGGUAUAAAUUCGGGAAACCGGAGCUAAUACCGUAUAAUAUUUUGAACCGCAUGGUUCAAAAGUGAAAGACGAUCUUGCUGUCACUGAUAGAUGGAUCCGCGCUGCAUUAGCUAGUUGGUAAGGUAACGACUUACCAAGGCAACGAUGCAUAGCCGACCUGAGAGGGUGAUCGGCCACACUGGAACUGAGACACGGUCCAGAGUCCUACGGGAGGCAGCAGUAGGGAAUCUUACGCAAUGGGCGAAAGCCUGACGGAGCAACGCAGCGCGAGUGAUGACGGUCCUCGGAUCGUAAAACUCUGUUAUUAGGGAAGAACAUAUGUGUAAGUAACUGUGCACAUCUUGACGGUACCUAAUCAGAAAGCCACGGCUAACUACGUG
rnacentral:rRNA from 1 species